rnacentral:rRNA from 1 species
CUACGAACUGCGUAMCMGGAAGNAGCUUGCURCUUUGCUGACGAGUGGCGGACGGGUGAGUCAUGUCUGGGAAACUGCCUGAUGGAGGGGGACAACUACUGGAAACGGUAGCUAAUACCGCAUAACGUCGCAAGACCAAAGAGGGGGACCUUCGGGCCUCUUGCCAUCGGAUGUGCCCAGAUGGGAUUAGCUUGUUGGUGGGGUAACGGCUCACCAAGGCGACGAUCCCUAGCUGGUCUGAGAGGAUGACCAGCCACACUGGAACUGAGCCAGGUUCAACACUUAUACGGGAGGCAGCAGUGGGGAAUAUUGCACAAUGGGCGCAAGCCUGAUGCAGCCAUGCCGCGUGUAUGAAGAAGGCCUUCGGGUUGUAAAGUACUUUCAGCGGGGAGGAAGGGAGUAAAGUUAAUACCUUUGCUCAUUGACGUUACCCGCAGAAGAAGCACCGGCUAACUCCGUGCCAGCAGCCGCGGUAAUACGGAGGGUGCAAGCGUUAAUCGGAAUUACUGGGCGUAAAGCGCACGCAGGCGGUUUGUUAAGUCAGAUGUGAAAUCCCCGGGCUCAACCUGGGAACUGCAUCUGAUACUGGCAAGCUUGAGUCUCGUAGAGGGGGGUAGAAUUCCAGGUGUAGCGGUGAAAUGCGUAGAGAUCUGGAGGAAUACCGGUGGCGAAGGCGGCCCCCUGGACGAAGACUGACGCUCAGGUGCGAAAGCGUGGGGAGCAAACAGGAUUAGAUACCCUGGUAGUCCACGCCGUAAACGAUGUCGACUUGGAGGUUGUGCCCUUGAGGCGUGGCUUCCGGAGCUAACGCGUUAAGUCGACCGCCUGGGGAGUACGGCCGCAAGGUUAAAACUCAAAUGAAUUGACGGGGGCCCGCACAAGCGGUGGAGCAUGUGGUUUAAUUCGAUGCAACGCGAAGAACCUUACCUGGUCUUGACAUCCACAGAACUUUCCAGAGAUGGAUUGGUGCCUUCGGGAACUGUGAGACAGGUGCUGCAUGGCUGUCGUCAGCUCGUGUUGUGAAAUGUUGGGUUAAGUCCCGCAACGAGCGCAACCCUUUAUCCUUUGUUGCCAGCGGUUCCGGCCGGGAACUCAAAGGAGACUGCCAGUGAUAAACUUGG